UAGCGGAGCGUGUGGUUUAAUUCGGUGCAACACGAAGAACCUUACCAGGGCUUGACAUGUUGGAAGUAGUGAAACGAAAGUCGAACGAACUGUUAAAUCAGUAACCUUCACAGGUGCUGCAUGGCUGUCGUCAGCUCGUGCCGUGAGGUGUCGGGUUAAGUCCCAUAACGAGCGCAACCCCUGUUGCCAGUUAAUUUCUCUGGCGAGACUGCCCCGCAAAACGGGGAGGAAGGCGGGGAUGACGUCAAGUCAGUAUGGCCCUUAUGCCCUGGGCCACACACACGCUACAAUGGAUGGUACAGCAGGUUGCAAUGGAGCGAUCCGGAGCUAAUCCUUAAAACCAUCCUCAGUUCGGAUUGCAGGCUGAAAUUCGCCUGCAUGAAGUCGGAGUUGCUAGUAACCGCAUAA
rnacentral:rRNA from 1 species